rnacentral:rRNA from 1 species
CCCGGGAACCCGUCCCGGAGGGGUACCGGUACGGACGGCCGACGAACGGUUGAAGGUAACUACGAAAACGGUAAUUAGGGAACCGGGGGCCCGGACCGAACGAACGACGGGUAGGAGUAGUGGUUAGGUUUACGUUACGUAGUCGACGACCGACGAAACGUAACCCUAACCGACGGUACGUUACGACAGUCGUCGACGACUACCGAGGUACGAACACGAGGAGCGUCCGUACGGAGCCGGACGAACCACGAGGUGGUCGACUAGCGCGUCGUCAGCUCGUGUCGUGAGAUGUGGGUUAAGUCCCGCAACGAGCGCAACCCUCGUGUUUAGUUUGCCAUCAUUAAGUUGGGCACUCUAAACAGACUGCCGGUGACAAACCGGAGGAAGGUGGGGAUGACGUCAAGUCAGCAUGCCCCUUACGUCCUGGGCUACACACGUACUACAAUGGUAGGGACAGAGGGCAGCCAACCCGCGAGGGCGAGCUAAUCCCGUAAACCCUGCCUCAGUUCAGAUUGCAGGCUGCAACUCGCCUGCAUGAAGGCGGAAUCGCUAGUAAUCGCAGGUCAGCAUACUGCGGUGAAUCCGUU